GCCUGGCUGGCUCAAUUGGUGGAGCAUAUGGCUCUUGAUCUCAGGGUCGUGAGUUCAAGCCCCGUGCUGGGCG
rnacentral:tRNA from 1 species